rnacentral:rRNA from 1 species
ACGCUGACGGCGUGGAUGAGGCAUGCAAGUCGAACGAGGGAUACCAGAGAAGCUCUUUUUGAGUGGAUUUGGUUGACCUAGUGGCGAAAGGGUUAGUAAUACAUAGGUAACUUGCCUUUAACUUUGGAAUAACGGCUGGAAACGGCCGCUAAUACCGGAUGUGGUGAAGCAAAGGCAUCUUUGUUUCAUUAAAGUGGGGGAUCUUCGGACCUCGCGGUUAAAGAGAGGCCUAUGGGAUAUCAGCUUGUUGGUGAGGUAAAGGCUCACCAAGGCUAAGACGUCUAGGCGGAUUGAGAGGUCGACCGCCAACACUGGGACUGAGAUACUGCCCAGACUCCUACGGGAGGCUGCAGUCGAGAAUCAUUCGCAAUGGGCGAAAGCCUGACGAUGCGACGCCGUGUGAACGAAGAAGGCCUUCGGGUCGUAAAGUUCUUUCGCCUGGGAAUAAAGGUCGUGGGGUAAUAUACCACGAACGUGAAGGUACCAGGAAAAGAAGCACCGGCUAACUCCGUGCCAGCAGCUGCGGUAAUACGGAGGGUGCAAGCGUUAAUCGGAUUUAUUGGGUGUAAAGGGGGCGUAGGCGGGGACACCAGUCGACUGUGAAAUUCCAGCGCUCAACGUUGGAGCUGCAUUCGAUACUGUGUCUCUUGAGGAUAGGCGGAGAAAACGGAAUUCCAUGUGUAGCGGUGAAAUGCGUAGAUAUAUGGAGGAACACCCGUGGCGAAGGCGGUUUUCUAGCUUAUUCCUGACGCUGAGGCCCGAAAGCUAGGGGAGCAAACAGGAUUAGAUGCCCUGGUAGUCCUAGCCGUAAACGAUGUACACUUGAUGUAGCCGGUCUCAACCCCGGCUGUGUCGUAGCUAACGCGUUAAGUGUACCACCUGGGGAGUACGCUCGCAAGGGUGAAACUCAAAAGAAUUGACGGGGGCCCGCACAAGCAGUGGAGCAUGUGGUUUAAUUCGAUGCAACGCGAAGAACCUUACCCAGGUUUGACAUGUAGAGGACCGCAGCAGAGAUGUUGUUUCCCGUAAGGGCUUCUACACAGGUGCUGCAUGGCUGUCGUCAGCUCGUGCCGUGAGGUGUUGGGUUAAGUCCCGCAACGAGCGCAACCCUUAUCGCUAGUUGCCAGCACAUAAUGGUGGGGACUCUAGCGAGACUGCCUCGGUGAACGAGGAGGAAGGUGAGGAUGAGGUCAAGUCAGCAUGGCCCUUAUGCCUGGGGCUACACACGUGCUACAAUGGUCAGUACAAUGGGAAGCUAAGCCGUGAGGUGU